rnacentral:rRNA from 1 species
AAGAGAGAGACAUGCGCGCAUAUCAAUAAGCGGAGGAAAAGAAACUAACAAGGAUUCCCCUAGUAACGGCGAGUGAAGCGGGAAGAGCUCAAAUUUGAAAUCUUAAAGGGUUUCCCUUUACGAAUUGUAGUUUAAAGAAGUGUUUUCUGUUGAGGUUUUGGUAAAAGUUCUUUGGAAUAGGACAUCAUAGAGGGUGAGAAUCCCGUAUUUGACCUUUACUUUCAACUUUGUGAUACACUUUCAAAGAGUCGGAUUGUUUGGGAAUGCAGUCCAAAAUGGGUGGUAAAUUUCAUCUAAAGCUAAAUAUUGGCGAGAGACCGAUAGCGAACAAGUACCGUGAGGGAAAGAUGAAAAGAACUUUGAAAAGAGAGUUAAACAGUACGUGAAAUUGUCAAAAGGGAAGCGUUUGACACCAGUGUUGUUUUUCUCGAAAAUCAAUUAAAGAACUGUUUAUGCUAAGUUGUUUAGACUAUUAUCAGCUAACUGUUUAGUUUUGAGCUUUUCUUUAAUGCACUUUUCAGUUAACAAGUCAACAUCAAUUUCUUUUGCUGUAAAAAAGCUUGAGGAAGGUGGCUUGAGAUUCGUCUUAAGUGUUUAUAGCCUCUUGCCUAUGCAGUCGGAGAGAUUGAGGUCUGCAGCGUAGAUCCUUCGGGGCUAAAUGCAUUUGUGCUAAGUUAUAGCAUUUUAUAGACAACUUGUUGACUAUGAUUUGUCUUGUAGCUUACUCGCUUAUGUUAUUUUACCUACGCUUAGGAUGUUGAGCGCAUGUCUCUCUCU